rnacentral:rRNA from 1 species
GUAGGGAAUAUUGGGCAAUGGUCGGAAGACUGACCCAGCCAUGCCGCGUGCAGGAAGACGGCCCUCUGGGUUGUAAACUGCUUUUAUCUGGGAAGAAAAAGGCCAUGCGUGGCAAAUUGCCGGUACCAGAUGAAUAAGCACCGGCUAACUCCGUGCCAGCAGCCGCGGUAAUACGGAGGGUGCGAGCGUUGUCCGGAUUUAUUGGGUUUAAAGGGUGCGUAGGCGGCUGAUUAAGUCAGCGGUGAAAGGCUUCGGCUUAACCGGAGCAGUGCCGUUGAUACUGGUUGGCUUGAGUGUCGGAGGGGUACAUGGAAUUGAUGGUGUAGCGGUGAAAUGCAUAGAUACCAUCAGGAACACCGAUAGCGAAGGCAUUGUACUGGCCGACAACUGACGCUGAUGCACGAAAGUGUGGGGAUCGAACAGGAUUAGAUACCCGUGUAGUCC